rnacentral:tRNA from 1 species
GCGAGAGUGGCGGAACUGGCAGACGCGCCGGAUUUAGGAUCCGGUGACCGCAAGGUUGUGGGGGUUCGAAUCCCCCCUUUCGCA